UGCAAGUCUAGCGAACCAAUAAGAAGCUUGCUUUUUGUUGGUUAGCGGCGGACGGGUGAGUAACACGUGGGUAACCUGCCUGUAAGACCGGGAUAACUCCGGGAAACCGGUGCUAAUACCGGAUAGAUUAUCUUUCCACCUGGAGAGAUAAGGAAAGAUGGCUUUUGCCAUCACUUACAGAUGGGCCCGCGGCGCAUUAGCUAGUUGGUGAGGUAACGGCUCACCAAGGCGACGAUGCGUAGCCGACCUGAGAGGGUGAUCGGCCACACUGGGACUGAGACACGGCCCAGACUCCUACGGGAGGCAGCAGUAGGGAAUCUUCCGCAAUGGACGAAAGUCUGACGGAGCAACGCCGCGUGAGCGAAGAAGGUCUUCGGAUCGUAAAGCUCUGUUGUUAGGGAAGAACAAGUAUCGGAGGAAAUGCCGGUACCUUGACGGUACCUGACGAGAAAGCCACGGCUAACUACGUGCCAGCAGCCGCGGUAAUACGUAGGUGGCAGGCGUUGUCCGGAAUUAUUGGGCGUAAAGCGCGCGCAGGCGGUCCUUUAAGUCUGAUGUGAAAUCUU
rnacentral:rRNA from 1 species